rnacentral:rRNA from 1 species
CCACAUCAUGAAAGCCGUUUGUACCCGAAGUCACUGUAUCAACCAGCAAUGGAGAGAGGUGCCGAAGGUAUGGAUGGUGACUGGGAUG